AAAGGGACCAGGCCAGCCACUGUUUUACUGUUAGUUUUUGGGUUUGUUUGUUUGCUUUCAUUUUGUUUGUCUUUUUGUUUGUUUGCAUGGUCUCUCUGUAACUGCUGGGACUAACAUCACUUGCUUAAGCUUGCACGCUUACAGCUCUUGUGCUGGGAGCUGGCUGUUCCUCUUUUGUCCUAUCAUAUAGGCUGUCUCUGUACAAGGCCGGAUCCGCAACUCCGUACUGGUUGGGUGCCACAUGGAGGGAGAUUUUCUCGGGCCCCUCUCCAAGACGGGAGCUGUGUGUGCUGACCCGACCUUAUUAGCCUGAGGAGUCUCAGCCAUUUAUCCCAUGCAGUCUUUCUUACUUACACACAACUUACAUUCUGGAUUGUAUUUAUACUAUUUGUAAUAAAUUUGUGUAUUUUGUA